UCUGGCAUAUAAUGAUUCCUACUCUCGCAUGCGUUUGCUACCUGGUGUUUCUGAUAUUUACGACGAAAUAUUCUCAAUAUUUUCGAAAACUGAGGAUUAUUUUACCUGUUGUCCAAUGUAAAUGUUUACUUGUUCAGAGGUAUAUAUCUCGUUGUAAUGAAGUGUUUCAUGAAUCAAUGAAUAAGGUCUUAAACCAAAUUCGUGCAGUCUUACAUGUUAAAACAUUGUGGCUGAUAG
rnacentral:lncRNA from 1 species